rnacentral:rRNA from 1 species
UACAGAGGGUGCGAGCGUUAAUCGGAAUUACUGGGCGUAAAGCGCACGUAGGCGGCUUGGUAUGUCGGGUGUGAAAUCCCCGGGCUCAACCUGGGAACUGCAUCCGAAACUGCCUUGCUAGAGUAUGGGAGAGGGAAGUGGAAUUUCCGGUGUAGCGGUGAAAUGCGUAGAUAUCGGAAGGAACAUCAGUGGCGAAGGCGACUUCCUGGACCAAUACUGACGCUCAGGUGCGAAAGCGUGGGGAGCAAAC